CCCAACCCAUGGAAGUGGAUUGGUGAGGAAAGCCCUGUAAUGGGACAAAGGCCAACACACCACCCUGCCUGGGAACUCCUUCCUCUGUCUCAUGGCUGAUCUCAGGAGGAUCCUUUCUGAGCUGACUCAGAGAUUUUUAUUGGAUUACUUUUCCAUCUGAUCCAGGGGCAGAGACACUGAGACUUUCUUGACACCCUCCUCAGAGUGAUUUAUAGCCUGGGACCAGUGGCCAGUUGAAUUUCCCUGGUAUGGCUCAGUGGAGGACCGGGGCAUAACUCAGCCACAUCCAUCACUAAUCAUGAUUCAGUCUGCUGGCUUUCUUGAUGAUGCUAUCUAGAGAAGGCAGCUGAUACAGACAGUAAUCGGCACUGGCAGCUGGCAGAAGGAGGGAGCAGCAGUCGUCUCUGUCCUCAAGAAAUCCUUCUACCAAGGGAAGUUCUGCACAACUGUGCUCAGCUGGAAGAAGAUGAGGCCAAGGGUUGACAAACCAUCCUGACUGAAGCAGACAGAAACCCGGAGGGAGAGACAGGAGGUAUCCUAUACCAG